UGCUUGGUCACCUCGGAAGGGCGGGACGACGCCCCAGCAUUUGGAGUCACACCUAGAGUCCCUUCCAGGAAGGCAUUCCGGUGACAAAAUGGGAAACUGGCGGCCCAGCCGCAGCAGCACUGUGCAGUGUGUGAGACACUUUAUUUUCUCGUCCUAACUCGACUUGUUUAAACUUUGUUCAGCCAAGUCCUGAGUUCAAAUCCCA